GGAAAGUGAACUUGUUGCUGAAAUUGAUAGGUUGAAAGCUGAAGUUGAGAAGGCAGAAAAAAGUCUUGAUCAUGCUACUCCUGGCGAUGUAAGAAGGGGACUAAAUUCUGUUCGGAGGAUCUGUAAAGAGUACAAAAUUUCUGGGGUGCAUGGUCCAAUUAUUGAGUUGCUCGAUUGUGAUGAUAAAUUUUUUACUGCUGUUGAAGUUACGGCGGGAAACAGCUUAUUUCACGUGGUGGUGGAAAAUGAUGAAAUAUCAACCCAGAUCAUACGACACCUUAAUUCAUUGAAAGGCGGAAGGGUUACUUUUAUACCACUUAACAGGGUGAAAGCUCCGCAAAUUACUUAUCCACAGAGUUCUGAUGUGAUACCGUUGUUGAAGAAAUUAAAAUUCUCUCCCAAUUACGCACCAGCGUUUUCUCAGGUGUUUGCUAGAACGGUG
rnacentral:misc_RNA from 1 species